rnacentral:rRNA from 1 species
ACGUAGGUGGCAAGCGUUGUCCGGAAUUAUUGGGCGUAAAGCGCGCGCAGGCGGAUAGGUCAGUCUGUCUUAAAAGUUCGGGGCUUAACCUCGUGAUGGGAUGGAAACUGCCAAUCUAGAGUAUCGGAGAGGAAAGUGGAAUUCCUAGUGUAGCGGUGAAAUGCGUAGAUAUUAGGAAGAACACCAGUGGCGAAGGCGACUUUCUGGACGAAAACUGACGCUGAGGCGCGAAAGCCAGGGGAGCGAACGG